rnacentral:rRNA from 1 species
GACGAACGCUGGCGGCGUGCUUAACACAUGCAAGUCGAACGGAAAGGCUCUGCUUUUGUGGGGUGCUCGAGUGGCGAACGGGUGAGUAACACGUGAGUAACCUGCCCUUGACUUUGGGAUAACUUCAGGAAACUGGGGCUAAUACCGGAUAGGAGCUCCUGCUGCAUGGUGGGGGUUGGAAAGUUUCGGCGGUUGGGGAUGGACUCGCGGCUUAUCAGCUUGUUGGUGGGGUAGUGGCUUACCAAGGCUUUGACGGGUAGCCGGCCUGAGAGGGUGACCGGCCACAUUGGGACUGAGAUACGCCCCAGACUGCUACGGGAGGCAACAGUGGGGAGUAUUGCACAAUGGGCGGAAGUCUGAUGCAGAAACGCCGCGUGCGGGAUGACGGCCUUCGGGUUGUAAACCGCUUUCGCCUGUGACGAAGCGUGAGUGACGGUAAUGGGUAAAGAAGCACCGGCUAACUACGUG